rnacentral:hammerhead_ribozyme from 1 species
AUCCAGCUGACGAGUCCCAAAUAGGACAAAACGUGCAUCUUGAAU